GGCCUCUUACCAAGGCUGACCGAUUUCUUUUGGUGUUCAGAGUCAUCUUCAGUUUCUAGCACCAUUUGAAAUCGGUUACAAUGUAGGA
rnacentral:pre_miRNA from 1 species